GUGUCAGCAGCCGCGGUAAUACGGAGGGUGCAAGCGUUAUCCGGAUUCACUGGGUUUAAAGGGUGCGUAGGCGGGCAGGUAAGUCCGUGGUGAAAUCUCUGAGCUUAACUCAGAAACUGCCAUGGAUACUAUUUGUCUUGAAUAUUGUGGAGGUAAGCGGAAUAUGUCAUGUAGCGGUGAAAUGCUUAGAUAUGACAUAGAACACCAAUUGCGAAGGCAGCUUACUACACAGUUAUUGACGCUGAGGCACGAAAGCGUGGGGAUCAAACAGGAUUAGAUACCCUGGUAGUCC
rnacentral:rRNA from 1 species